GUGCCAGCCGCCGCGGUAAAACCAGCACCUCAAGUGGUCAGGAGGAUUAUUGGGCCUAAAGCAUCCGUAGCCUGUUCUAUAAGUUUUCGGUUAAAUCCAUUAGCUCAACUAAUGGGCCGCCGAAAAUACUGUAGAACUAGGGAGUGGGAGAGGUAGACGGUAUUCGGUAGGAAGGGGUAAAAUCCUUUGAUCUAUUGAGGACCACCUGUGGCGAAGGCGGUCUACCAGAACACGUUCGACGGUGAGGGAUGAAAGCUGGGGGAGCAAACCGGAUUAGAUACCCGGGUAGUCCCAGCUGUAAACGAUGCAGACUCGGUGACGCGCUGGCUUGUGGCCAGUGCAGUGCCGCAGGGAAGCCGUUAAGUUUGCCGCCUGGGAAGUACGUACGCAAGUAUGAAACUUAAAGGAAUUGGCGGGGGAGCACCACAAGGGGUGAAGCCUGCGGUUCAAUUGGAGUCAACGCCAGAAAUCUUACCCGAAGAGACAGCAGAAUGAAGGUCAAGCUGGAGACUUUACCAGACAAGCUGAGAAGUGGUGCAUGGCCGUCGCCAGCUCGUGCCGUGAGAUGUCCUGUUAAGUCAGGUAACGAGCGAGAUCCCUGCCUCUAGUUGCCACCAUUACUCUCAGGAGUAGUGGGGCGAAUUAGCGGGACCGCCGCAGUUAAUGCGGAGGAAGGAAGGGGCCACGGCAGGUCAGUAUGCCCUGAAACUUUGGGGCCACACGCGGGCUGCAAUGGUAGCGACAAUGGGUUCCGAAUCCGAAAGGAGGAGGUAAUCCUCAAACGCUACCACAGUUAUGAUUGAGGGCUGCAACUCGCCCUCAUGAAUAUGGAAUCCCUAGUAACUGCGUGUCAUUACCGCGCAGUGAAUACGUCCCUGC
rnacentral:rRNA from 1 species